AGCGAACGCUGGCGGCAGGCCUAACACAUGCAAGUCGAACGAACCUUUCGGGGUUAGUGGCGGACGGGUGAGUAACACGUGGGAACGUGCCUUUAGGUUCGGAAUAACUCAGGGAAACUUGUGCUAAUACCGAAUGUGCCCUUCGGGGGAAAGAUUUAUCGCCUUUAGAGCGGCCCGCGUCUGAUUAGCUAGUUGGUUGAGGUAAUGGCUCACCACGGCGACGAUCAGUAGCUGGUCUGAGAGGAUGAUCAGCCACAUUGGGACUGAGACACGGCCCAAACUCCUACGGGAGGCAGCAGUGGGGAAUCUUGCGCAAUGGGCGAAAGCCUGACGCAGCCAUGCCGCGUGAAUGAUGAAGGUCUUAGGAUUGUAAAAUUCUUUCACCGGGGACGAUAAUGACGGUACCCGGAGAAGAAGCCCCGGCUAACUUCGU
rnacentral:rRNA from 1 species